rnacentral:lncRNA from 1 species
CCCCGUUUCCUGUCCCCCCAGUGACGGUGUCCCCCCGUUUCCUGUCCCCCCAGCGACGGUGUCCCCCCGUUUCCUGUCCCCCCAGGCCAUCACAGCCGGGUUCUUUUACCACACGGCGCGUUUGGCGCGGGGCGGGUACCGCACGGUGAAACACCAACAGCCGGUGUUCAUCCACCCCAACAGCGCCCUGUUCUCGCUGCAGCCCCGCUGGGUGCUGUACCACGAGCUGGUGUGCACCUCCAAGGAGUUCAUGAGACAGGUGAUGGAGAUCGACAGUUCCUGGCUGCUGGAGGUGGCCCCUCACUAUUACCAGGCCAAGGAGCUCGAGGACGGCAGCGGCCGCAAGAUGCCAAAAAAAACCGGGAAAACGCGGGAGGAGCUGGGCUGAGCCCGGCCCGGGGACACCUGGGCACACCUGGGCACACCUGGGUGUACCUGGAGCCACACCUGGACACAGCUGGGUGUACC